AAAUUUGCUGCUGUGAUCAACUCUGAAAUACCCCCUUUGUUGGUAACCCAUUGACUCCACCCAGCUUCUCCAUUAGAUCUUUGCCUAUUGUGGCUACAUGGCAAUUGCGGCAUCUUACACCAUGUAGCUGUGUGGCCUACCGAAAUGAAAGAGCAUUGUGGUUGUGAAGGGUGCUCCAUGACCUGGAAAAGAGUUGGAUCCCAUGUAAAUCAAAUAUUUCUACUGGUAUGAACAUCACCUGCCUUCUUAUUCUUAGUCUCUGGAUGGUUCAACCUUUUACAACAAGUUGACAAUUCGGAGCUCAUAUAUCAGCAUAAUAAAAUGGACCUAAAAAAUGAAUAAAAGCCAACAAAAAUGGAGAACACCAUCUACUUAUAGCGACAUCAUCACUACAGCUCACAGUCUUGAAAGGUGGAGAUUGCAAAACUUAUAUUGAGGACAUCAUCAUCAUCACUCCCAUAGAACCACCAGUUCCCAGCCCACCAACCCAGCAAGAUGAAAAACCCAACAGAUGGCGCCAUUACCCAUUAGCUGCUGGAGCUCAACCACAUCACCUGUAUGGCCUGUGAGAUGAACCUGCGUAUGUUUGAAAUGACGCAAGUUAUUCUGGAGCAAACACAGGCCAUCUGUGAACAAUCAUAGGCCUUUAUCAGCAUGCAUAGGGAGUUGGCCUCACAAAGGGUUGUUAGAGAAGCUCUGUCCGCCUCUGUGGUGAGAUCCCAAAUCACUAACCCCCAAACUGUGUCACCAGUGACCCCCCUGGGUGCAGUGCACAUGGGGAGGUGCACCUAAAGUGGUAGAAA